AACCAAUGGUGAAGGCACCUUCUCUAUAAGUCCUUGUAUCUCUCUCAUGCAUCAUAAAUAGUUUCUAGCUCCAUCUAUACAAAAGAAGAGAUAUCAUUCCUCAAUUU
rfam:Gossypium arboreum cultivar AKA8401 contig_14460_3, whole genome shotgun sequence.